UACGUAGGGUGCAGGCGUUAAUCGGAAUUACUGGGCGUAAAGCGUGCGCAGGCGGUUUGUUAAGACAGGUGUGAAAUCCCCGGGCUUAACCUGGGAACUGCGCUUGUUACUGGCAGACUUGAGUGUGGCAGAGGGGGGUGGAAUUCCAGGUGUAGCAGUGAAAUGCGUAGAGAUCUGGAGGAACACCGAUGGCGAAGGCAGCCCCCUGGGUCAACACUGACGCUCAUGCACGAAAGCGUGGGGAGCAAACAGG
rnacentral:rRNA from 1 species